rnacentral:rRNA from 1 species
AACGAACGCUGGCGGCAGGCUUAACACAUGCAAGUCGAACGAUAAGGUACUUUCGGGUACUGGAGAGUGGCGCACGGGUGAGUAACGCGUGGGAAUUUACCAUGGAGUGGGGGAUAACAUCUGGAAACGGAUGCUAAUACCGCAUACGCCCUACGGGGGAAAGAUUUAUUGCUCUAUGAUAAGCCCGCGUUAGAUUAGGUAGUUGGUGGGGUAAUUGCCUACCAAGCCUACGAUCUAUAGCUGGUCUGAGAGGAUGAUCAGCCACACUGGGACUGAGACACGGCCCAG